UAGGAGCUCCAAAUGUGACUGAGAGGUGGCA
rnacentral:piRNA from 1 species